rnacentral:rRNA from 1 species
CAGCCGCCGCGGGAAUACAGAGGGUGCGAGCGUUAAUCGGAUUUACUGGGCGUAAAGCGUGCGUAGGCGGCUUUUUAAGUCGGAUGUGAAAUCCCUGAGCUUAACUUAGGAAUUGCAUUCGAUACUGGGAAGCUAGAGUAUGGGAGAGGAUGGUAGAAUUCCAGGUGUAGCGGUGAAAUACGUAGAGAUCUGGAGGAAUACCGAUGGCGAAGGCAGCCAUCUGGCCUAAUACUGACGCUGAGGUACGAAAGCAUGGGGAGCAAACAGGAUUAGAUACCCCCGUAGUCCCUGUCUCUUAUAC